GACGAACGCUGGCGGCGUGCUUAACACAUGCAAGUCGAACGGUAAGGCCCUUCGGGGUACACGAGUGGCGAACGGGUGAGUAACACGUGGGUGAUCUGCCCUGCACUUCGGGAUAAGCCUGGGAAACUGGGUCUAAUACCGGAUAGGACCACUGCCUGCAUGGGUGGUGGUGGAAAGCUUUUGCGGUGUGGGAUGGGCCCGCGGCCUAUCAGCUUGUUGGGGGGGUGAUGGCCUACCAAGGCGACGACGGGUAGCCGGCCUGAGAGGGUGACCGGCCACACGGGGACUGGGAUACGGCCCAGACUCCUCCGGGAGGCAGCAGUGGGGAAUAUUGCACAAUGGGCGAAAGCCUGAUGCAGCGACGCCGCGUGAGGGAUGACGGCCUUCGGGUUGUAAACCUCUUUCAGCACCGACGAAGCGCAAGUGACGGUAGGUGCAGAAGAAGGACCGGCCAACUACGUGCCAGCAGCCGCCGUAA
rnacentral:rRNA from 1 species